UAAUACGGAGGGUGCAAGCGUUAUCCGGAUUCACUGGGUUUAAAGGGAGCGUAGGUGGGCAGGUAAGUCAGUGGUGAAAUCUCUGGGCUUAACCCGGAAACUGCCAUUGAUACUAUCUGUCUUGAAUUAUCUGGAGGUAAGCGGAAUAUGUCAUGUAGCGGUGAAAUGCUUAGAUAUGACAUAGAACACCCAUUGCGAAGGCAGCUUACUACGGAUAUAUUGACACUGAGGCUCGAAAGCGUGGGGAUCAAACAGG
rnacentral:rRNA from 1 species